UCCCUUGGUCUGGACCUCUGUGGGUUUCAAGCGCUUCUGUAACACUGCAGCCAACAUAUUACCUUACCCAUGCUGGGAGGAUGCUGGUGAGAGAGCUGGCAGUGUUAAACACACAGAUUUUCACGAUGGAGCAGCCUAUUUUCAUCUGUUUCACUCCAGCUAGGAGGAUGGUAUGGGAGGAACUGUCUUCUCAAAAUGAACAGUAUGUGGAUGAGGAGGUUGGGCAGUGGCCCUGUCUGGCUAUAAUCCCUUGGUCUGGACCCUUGUAUGUUCCUGUCUCUCCCAAACCAGUCUACUAUCUCACCCGUGCUGGGAGAAUUCUGGUGAGAGAGCUGGCAGUGUUAAACACACAGACUUCCAAAUUGGUUACUGAGGAGCCUACCUUUCACCUCACUGAAGC